CCCCUUCACCUUCUCCCCCACCACCUUAUUACUACAAGUCUCCACCACCACCUGCUAAGUCACCUCCUCCUCCAUACUACUACUCCUCCCCUCCGCCACCCGUUAAGUCACCUCCUCCACCUUACUACUAUUCCUCCCCUCCACCACCAGUCAAGUCACCUCCUCCACCUUACUAUUACUCCUCCCCUCCACCACCCGUUAAGUCACCUCCUCCUCCGUACUAUUAUUCUUCCCCUCCACCACCAGUUAAGUCGCCUCCUCCACCUUACUACUACUCCUCUCCUCCACCACCAGUUAAGUCACCUCCCUCACCAUACUAUUACACUUCACCACCACCCCCAACUCCUUACUAUCCUCCUCAUCAUUCCUUGAUCGUUAAGGUUGUUGGAAAAGUCUACUGCUACAGAUGUUAUGACUGGAAAUACCCAAAGAACUCCCACAACAAGAAGCACCUCAAAGGUAUAGUACUCAUCUCCGCAACAUUCUCUCUUAACUUUUAAUGUUCUUUUAAAUAUUUCUUCAUAACAAUAUUCAGUAAGAUGUUUACUUGUGAAUCUAUUAUUCUCUUCGCUCUUAAGCUUUCCUCGAAAUUAAUGUGUCUUCCUGAGUUUUGGAUCUUGGAGAAAUACCUUGAGACAUGCUUGAAUUUGAAGGCACCAACUUCAUUAAUAAUGAAAUGCCUCGAGGGACUUAAAUUUAAUUUAGCAUGUGUCAACCAACAUUCUUUCUAAAUAUAUGGAGUAUUAUAGUGAAAGCGAAGGACAGUAAUUAAUUGUAAGGCUAAUUCUUGAAUUAUUUAUAAAGUUGAUAAAUGUCCUAAAUAUAUAUUAGCCAAAAAAGUUUUUUAAAACCAAGAAGUAGCAUCGAAGAAUUUUUUUGUUACAACUGAAUCAUAAAUAAAAAAUAUCAAAAAGUAAAAGUUAGAAAAAUAUGGUUACUUAUGAGUUAUGAUUCCCAUACAAAAGCAGUCUUCCUUGUGGAUCUAUGAGAUAUAUUCAUGAUUACGUAAUUAUUUGUGGUAUUUAUAAGGUUUUCUUUAGCUUUUUGUUUCUUCAUGAUUAAGUAAUUAUUAUCAAAAUAUCAAAAUAUAUAGUAAUGAAAUAAAUUUGUUGGAUAAUCACCAAAAUGGUGAAAAACUGGCUUCCUCUUGUGGUGCCCAAAUGUAGUCUUCGUUGGCUCACAAACUGCCCAUUUUAAUCUAGCAAUCAUUCAACAAAAAGCAGUAAAGGAAGCCAGAUGGGUAGAUUCUUGAGUUUUAUAUUCCUUAUUAGAUAAAGAGGAAAAAGUGGAAAAAUGAGCUUUUAAUCAUGUGAUGGAACAGUUAUUUUUAUAUUAAGAAUAGGACAAAGUUGGUUAUUGUAGCUAGUAGGAAAAUAAGGCAAAUAUAUGAUCUGUUAACAACUCAAUUAUUAAGUACUAAUUGAAAUAUCAUUUUCCACACUGGGAGUAGGUGCUGUUGUUGAGGUCACAUGCAAAGUUGGUGACAAGAAAAUUAAGAGCUAUGGUACCACUAAAAUCAAUGGCAAGUUUGCUAUCACAGUCGAAGGAUUUGAGUAUGCUAAAUAUGGAGCAGAUGCAUGCAAGGCUAAACUUCACAAAGCACCAAAGGGUUCAAAAUGUAACAUUCCCACAAAUCUACACUGGGGCAUUAAAGGUGCUAGCCUCAGAGUGAAGUCAAAGAAUAAAUAUGAAGUUGUGCUCUAUGCAAAACCAUUUGCUUAUGCCUCCAAAACUCCUUAUGAAGAAUGCAUGAAGCCUAAGCCAACUCCUGCUCCUUACUAUUACAAAUCUCCACCUCCUCCAUCACCAAUAUAUAUUUACAAGUCACCUCCUCCUCCAUCACCAAAAUACGUAUACAAGUCUCCGCCACCACCGUCACCAAAAUACGUGUACAAGUCACCUCCUCCUCCAUCACCAAAAUACGUAUAUAAGUCACCGCCUCCUCCAACACCAAUGUAUGUAUACAAAUCACCACCUCCACCAUCACCAAAAUACGUGUACAAGUCACCACCUCCCCCAUCACCAAAAUAUGUCUACAAGUCACCGCCUCCCCCAUCACCAAAAUACGUAUACAAGUCCCCGCCACCACCAUCACCAAAAUACGUGUACAAAUCACCACCUCCCCCAUCACCGAAAUACGUAUACAAGUCGCCACCUCCUCCAUCACCAAAAUACAUAUACAAGUCCCCACCACCACCACCACCUUACUAUUACAAGUUCCCUCCACCACCAUCACCAUCUCCCCCACCUCCUUACUAUUACAAGUCUCCUCCACCACCAUCGCCAUCUCCUCCUCCACCAUAC
rnacentral:lncRNA from 1 species